UACGAAGGGGGCUAGCGUUGCUCGGAAUCACUGGGCGUAAAGCGCACGUAGGCGGAUCUUUAAGUCAGGGGUGAAAUCCUGGAGCUCAACUCCAGAACUGCCUUUGAUACUGGGGAUCUCGAGUCCGGGAGAGGUGAGUGGAACUGCGAGUGUAGAGGUGAAAUUCGUAGAUAUUCGCAAGAACACCGGUGGCGAAGGCGGCUACCUGGACGGUGACUGACGCUGAGACGCGAAAGCGUGGGGAGCAAACAGG
rnacentral:rRNA from 1 species